rnacentral:pre_miRNA from 1 species
AAGAAAUACAGUUUUAGCACUGUUCAUGUUCAACAUUUGACCGUUCGUUUUAUUUGAAAAAAGAUUAUGAUUAGUAUUUUUAUUGUUAUUAGAUAAUAAAACAUGAAUAAAACGGAUGGUCAAAGCACUAAACACGAAUAUUUAUGGCUACACUUAUU